GACUCCUAGGAUCACAAAUUUGGAUGUCUGUUUUUCACGUUUUGUAACUAUGUUCACAUGUAUUUUGUUCACGGUUUUCAGAAUGACAGAGGCCAUGAUCCGAACAUGUCUUGUUCUGUGUGUGAUGGUUCAUUUCACAGUCUGUCAUGGGAAUACAGCUCCCGAAUGUGACUUCAACUGGACUACUGGAAAAUUAACAAUGAACUGCACUGUUUCCUCUAAUCCAAAUUCUACACAUACACAACAUAAAUGGUUUCAUAAUGGAACUGUAAUUGUAAACUACUCACAUUACAAAUUAGUUAGUACUGUGACAUCAUUUUGUGUUCAUAAUAUUACAUCCAAUUCCCAUAGCUGUGUCAGUAAUCUUCUAUGUAAUGACACCUACUGCAAUGUUACAUAUAAUCACACAAUUCCCAAUGCAUCCCGGACACUCUGUGGAACAUACAAGUUUUGGGCGCAACUAAACACUCAACCAGCAGAAAAGAGCUUUAAUAUAUCAGAUUGUCCAGGUGGGACUGGAUCCCCAGUUACAGACAGUACAUUUGGGACUCGAUCACCCAGCACAGAAAGUCCAGCUAUGAUUUAUGACCCAGAUACAAAGUUUUUUUUCUUUCCUAACUUCCCUAACUUUCUUUACAAUAUUUACUGUAGAUUUACAAAUAGGGAUGCUCUAAAAUUAACAUGCCCCACCAAAAGUAUUGAAACAGAGGCCAAUCCUGUUAUUUCUACUGUAGACUGAAAGUAUUAGGUGCAGAGAUAUGACAUACUGUAACAUAUAUAACAUAUAUAAUCACAGCAGUUACUGGGGUAGAGAGUUUAUAGUUUUUGAGAGUAGCAGCAAAUA